GAGUGGAAGGGUAUUAGCAGUCUUUAAAUAGUUCUCGUUGUCGAGAGUGCAAGAGUACCCUACCAGUUCCGGCUCUCCAUCCUCCCAUCAUCUUGCACUUCGAGAAUCAAAAGAUGGCCAUGAUCGCGGAUGCCUUCGUCUCCAGAUUGUGUGAGAUGCUAUUAACCUAUGCGAAGGAAGAGGCUGCCAAGAUUUUGGGUGUGCCUGAUGAAAUCAAGAAGCUCCAUAGGAAGCUGGAGAGGAUGCAGGAUGUUCUUGUUGAUGCAGAGAAUAGACGCUUCGACAACCAAAGCAUCAACCGCUGGCUCAACGAGUUGCGAGAUCUCAUGUACGAUGCAGAUGACAUCAUUGAUGAAUGUCGGAUCGAGGGUGAGAAGCUUCUCAGCUCAAACUCAUCCUCAUCUCGUUAUGCUGAGUCGUUGUACUGCAGAGGGCUUUGUAACAUCCGAAGACAAUACGCCCUUGGAAGAUGUGGCAGAAGGAUAUUGGAAGGAGUUGGUACAAAGGAACCUCCUACAGCCGGAUCCUCAUUGGUAUGAUCAAUCAGGUUGCAGGAUGCAUGACCUCCUGCGAUCUCUAGCUCAGCAUAUAGCAGGGGAUUAGUGCUUCAUCGGAGAUGCACGAGCAUUUGAAAACAAGAUCAUGUCCUCCUCUUCCUCACCAGCAUCGAUAAAAUUACGCCGUUUAUCGAUUGUAGAUGAAAAAUUAGUAACCAUACCAGACUUUAUAAUGAAACAGACAUCCUUGAAAACCCUGUCAUUCUCUUAUUCCCCACUUAUUCGGGAUCUUCCAGAAGAUCUCUUCAAAAAGCUGAGGAGUUUAAGGGUCCUGAACUUAAGUGAAACUGCCAUUUGCAAUCUCCUAACUUCCUUGGGAGAUCUUGUGCACCUUAGACGUCUUGAUCUCGAUGCGACUCGAAUAAGAGAGAUACCAGAGAGCAUAGGAAAUCUUAGAAAUCUCCAAUUCCUGCUCCUCCCGAAUUGUAAAUAUUUGCACAACCUCCCUAAUGGUGUCGUGGGGUUAAUCAAUCUAAGGAUUCUAGACGUCAGGGGUGCACCACUUGAUGGUCUCCCUAUGGGAAUAGGGAGACUGAAACAACUAAGUAAAUUAUUGGGAUUUGUGGUGAGUGGUAGUGAGGGCUGCAAAUCUAGAGUGGGAGAAGAUGAUACGGAGCAGGAGCAAGAGCACAAGGGACAUCAGCACAGGAGAUUCUGCACCUUGGAGGAGUUGAAAUCCCUCUCUCAACUCCGAAUUUUGACAAUAGUAAACUUGGAGAGGGUAUCAGACAAGGCUGAAGCAAAAGUCGCUGCACUUCAAGCCAAGCCCCAUCUUAUCGACCUAGAAUUGUGUUGCACGGUACCGAGCAGAUCAUCUGAUGUGCAGCAGCCUCGUGCAAAUGAUUACGACAAGGAAGAUAUCAAGAGAAUAGGGGAGGUCUUUGAGGAACUCUACCCACCGCCAUGCCUUCAACAGCUUGAAAUCAAUGGCUACUUCGGCCGUGAGUUUCCCAGCUGGAUGAUGACACCCUCCUCGUCAUCACUCCGCAACAUACGAAGGCUGGAUCUGCGGGAUUUUGCUCUAUGCCAACAACUUCCAUCCUUGGGAAUGCUGCCCCAACUAGAUUGCCUAUGGAUUAAAGGUGCUUCUGAAGUCACGAGCAUCGGGCCUGAAUUCUUGGUGCUGGCGGAUGGUAGUGCUGGUGCAAGAGGGCGGAAUGGAAGACAAACAGAUUCUUGCUUCUCCUCCUACUUUCCCAAACUAGAGAAACUUGGAUUUGAAGACAUGACUAAUUGGGAAGAAUGGUGGUGGCGGUUGGAGGAGGAGGACAACCAGACAACACCGUUGCUACUUUCUCUUAAGGAAUUAUAUAUUGAUAAUUGUCCGAAGUUGAGGUCUCUUCCAGAGAGCCUCCUCUGUCAUGCCACCGCACUGAAGGAGUUACGAAUUAGAAGGGCCCACAGCCUGAGAGAAAUACAAAACCUCCCCUCUCUUACAGAAUUGAUCUUGUAUAGCAACUCGAGUUUGGAGAGAGCGUCCAACUUUCCUAGACUCAAACACUUAGACGUUUAUGAUUGUGAGGAAUUGAAGGUUGUGGAGGGUGUGAAUGCCGUGGAGCACAUACAGCUCGAUGAUCGAGAAGCAGUCUCUCUCCCAGAGUGGUUAGUAGGUGCUGGCGAAGACCAACCAUGCUUCCCUUCCCUCCACAAGUUGACUCUCUCCAACAAAAUCUGCCGCCGAGGGCUGCCCGAUUGGCCUUCAAUCCGAUGAAACAACACCCAUCUCAUGUUGAAGCAAUCAGCAAGUAUAGGCCAACGACAGUCAACCGUACAAGAAAAAGGUCAGAAAUGGUUUCCACCCCUGUGUCUCCUUUCUUUCCUCUUUCUGUAGCAAUGAAUGGAAGAUAAUUGGCAAACAGGCCCAUCAAUUUAUUCCUCAUAUUUUGCGGCUGCUUCAGCAAGCGAGGGAUGGAAGUUAUACUACUCGGCAACUAUUUGAUAUUCUACAUCAUUCUCGUCCUUGCAGGACUUGAACCCAGGGACUGCAGUAAGAAAGAAGAAAAGUCUGAGACCGGAUGAUAUGCAGAGCAAUUCCUUCGGGCUCUCGGCUUCCAUUAAUGAGAAAUUUUCAUUAAGAAAAUCUUAAUAAGAAAGAAGGAGGAGGAGUGGAGCUCUCGGCUGGGUGGUCGGUUCCAAAGAACAGAGGAAGGAGAAGACGAGCGGGUCGGGAGAGGAGGAGUGUUCAUGCUCUGUUUUCAAACAGAGCACAGUGCUUUGUUUUGUUUUUUUUUCUCUUUUUUUCUUUUCAUGUUUAGUUUUAUUUUAAUUGGGAGCAAUGUGUUUU